rnacentral:rRNA from 1 species
GACGAACGCUGGCGGCGUGCUUAACACAUGCAAGUCGAGCGGUAAGGCCUUUCGGGGUACACGAGCGGCGAACGGGUGAGUAACACGUGGGUGACCUGCCUUUAGCUUCGGGAUAAGCCUGGGAAACUGGGUCUAAUACCGGAUAUGACCUCAUGUCGCAUGGUGUGGGGUGGAAAGUUUUUCGGCUAGAGAUGGGCCCGCGGCCUAUCAGCUUGUUGGUGGGGUGAUGGCCUACCAAGGCGACGACGGGUAGCCGGCCUGAGAGGGCGACCGGCCACACUGGGACUGAGAUACGGCCCAGACUCCUACGGGAGGCAGCAGUGGGGAAUAUUGCGCAAUGGGCGGAAGCCUGACGCAGCGACGCCGC